CCCAAAUAAUCUCUCAACCCCUUCAUUUUAACUCCACAGUCGCCUCCCAUCGUUUGAGACUCUCUCAUCUCUCACUUUGAGAGAGACACGGCAGCCACCCCAUUUCCCCCAUUUUCGUCGCCGCCGGCCAGCCACCAGCAGCCUUGGCUAGCGCCUCCCCCUCUUCUCUUUUAUCUCUCUUCGCCGGAACACCACCAAAGCUAUGAUCUGAAAAUAGGACACCUAUCGAAAUUUCACUUCUGGCCGGAGAAGCUUCAUGUCUUAUCUGAAAUGCUAAGGCCGGCAUUCUUUCCAUGAGGCAAACCGAUAUCUGAGAAUUUUAUGGCCAGAAAUCUGACUUUCCGGCGACCUCUGGUGCUGCUCUUUUACUGUUCACUGCAACCCGUUCUCUUGGUUUUGGACGGAAAUACAGAUUCCGGCGACGUUCCUUGAAGUUGAGCGUUAUUCCGGCGUCCGCCGUCGAAGUUAACAGAUCUAAACCAAUAAAGGUUAUUUGCCUAGAGAUUGGCCAAAACUUUGGCGUUGUUUCCCUGCCGGUAAUUUCUUCCGACGUCUCUGUUGCCUCGCUUGGGUACUGUUCUCCGGCGUUUGUCGUCGAUUGUGGAACUUUGCCGAUGAAUGUUCAUAGAUAAUUUUUGGGGUCUUUGUUUAUUCUGGCCAACUUCUAUCUCCACGUAUUAUGCUAUAUCAUUAUUAUCACAUUUGGUUCUACAAGUUUGGGUUAAUUUACGCUUGACUGGAACUAUUGAAUUGUUUCUUGCUAAUUAGUUUGUGCAGAUUUCACGUCUGAAUUGUUGUUGAUUUCCCGCACUGUUGGACCUAAGGCUUGGGCUGAUGAGAAAAUAACCUUCGAGUUAUUCAACGCCCCGAAUGACCGUCCGGGUUGGGCCCUAUAAUAAUGAGGCGAUGAUAAACAUCGAAAAAGAAAAAGACGAGAAUUCGAAUCAAUAACCUAUGGAGGGCGACACGGUUGGCAGACGGUGUCUCAACCGAGGCGGUGAGCCUACUAUAUUAUUUUAAACUAUUUUUCAAAAAUAAUUUCCCAAAAACAUUUUCGAACUAUUUUCACAAACAAUCUUUCAAAAAAAAAACAUUUUCGAAUCUUUUUCGGAAAAAUUUCAAAAAAUCAUUUUAAAAACAUGUCAUUUGAUUCAUUUUUACUUUAUGUUAUUUUAUUAAUAAUUUUACUUUCUUAUCUUGCGAGGUACUACUAUACGGAGUUGUUUUUGGAAGACGACACUCGAAGAUAGAAAGACAAAUUUUCGUCAAACUCCCCGCUUCGAAUUUCCUAUUCUAGGAUGUAUCCAAAAUCACAAGUAUAGUGAAAUCGCAGAUAAAUGUCGUAUUAUUUGUUUACUUUGAUCUUUAUCUGUUUGUUAAACACUUAAACACUUAGGGUGUGUUACAUCUAGCUAAUAAUCCGCCAACCUACAACAUUGUGUGUUAAAUAAUUCUUGCAAGGUUGUCUAUACAAAAUCUAGAAUGUCAAAUAUAUAUUUUAUAAUUUAGUCGAUUAAUUAGGAUUA